UGGUAAUGCCGGAUGCUCCAUCACACCGCAUGGUGUGUUGGGAAAGCCUUUGCGGCAUGGGAUGGGGUCGCGUCCUAUCAGCUUGAUGGCGGGGUAACGGCCCACCAUGGCUUCGACGGGUAGCCGGCCUGAGAGGGCGACCGGCCACAUUGGGACUGAGAUACGGCCCAGACUCCUACGGGAGGCAGCAGUGGGGAAUAUUGCACAAUGGGCGCAAGCCUGAUGCAGCGACGCCGCGUGAGGGAUGGAGGCCUUCGGGUUGUAAACCUCUUUUGUUAGGGAGCAAGGCAUUUUGUGUUGAGUGUACCUUUCGAAUAAGCACCGGCUAACUACGUGCCAGCAGCCGCGGUAAUACGUAGGGUGCAAGCGUUAUCCGGAAUUAUUGGGCGUAAAGGGCUCGUAGGCGGUUCGUCGCGUCCGGUGUGAAAGUCCAUCGCUUAACGGUGGAUCCGCGCCGGGUACGGGCGGGCUUGAGUGCGGUAGGGGAGACUGGAAUUCCCGGUGUAACGGUGGAAUGUGUAGAUAUCGGAAAAGAAACACCA
rnacentral:rRNA from 1 species